rnacentral:rRNA from 1 species
UACGGAGGGUGCAAGCGUUAUCCGGAUUCACUGGGUUUAAAGGGUGCGUAGGCGGGUUGGUAAGUCAGUGGUGAAAUCUUCAAGCUUAACUUGGAACUGCCGUUGAUACUAUCAAUCUUGAAUAUUGUGGAGGUAAGCGGAAUAUGUCAUGUAGCGGUGAAAUGCUUAGAUAUGACAUAGAACACCGAUAGCGAAGGCAGCUUGCUACACAGUAAUUGACGCUGAGGCACGAAAGCGUGGGGAUCAAACAGG